AGCUUCGGACGGGGACAGAAAGCCUUGUGAGUUGUGAGCUUCGAUGGCAGUGGCAAUGGUAGUUUGUCGAUGCCGGUCUGUGUUAAGAAACGUGGAUUUCAGAGGUUGGGACCCAAACCCCAAACCCAAACCCCCUAUUUGGGCGUUAGAAUCCCAAAAUUCAUUGAUAUCAAACAACGGCAUGCGUCGAGCCGCUGAGGGUUUUAUCAUUUUGGGCAAAUCUUCGUCAAAUAUUGGAAAGGUUUGGAUUCUGGGUUUUAUCAAUUUGGGCAAAUCUUCGUCAAACAUUGGAAAGUGAUGAAGCACUCAUUUUCUUUGAAGCAUUUCAUGCGGUUCUUGUCUUCUUCAAUGCGAUUCUGGGUGUCAUAAUUGGUGUACACUUUCAUUACUUGGGUGUCUCGCCACUUGAAACGCAUCUUGGUAUCAUCUUGUGUUUAAUAGCGGCUACACUUGUCUAUAUCACUGCAUAUUUGGUGAUAAAAGUAAAACCGCAAAAUGCUGCCUACCGUUUCAUCUUCAGUCUCGUUUGUCUGGUAUCUGGAAUUUUUUCUGCUGAGCUGCUUCUCACAUUAAUAAUUUCUCCCCUUAGGAUAUUCAUGGUUAGUUUAUGUCCAAUCCUGAUAAUUGGGAUUGGGAUACUGUAUCAUUGCUACCGACAAAUUUAUGAGGAUCUCUACAACACAGCUGGAGCUUCUGAUGCAAUAUCUUCAAGGGAAGGAGACAUUGAGAUGCAGCAGGCAGAAACUAACCAGGGUUAAGUGGCCUGUUAUUGUUAACUACCUAGAAAGGACACGUUGGAUUAAGUGUUGCAUCUGAAGAUAAUGACUUGAAGAAGAUGGUUGCUGAGAAGAUAAUGCCUCAAUUAGGAUUGCUGUUAUUUGAAUUAUAUUAGGAUUUUUGCUAUUAGGAUUGCUGUUAUCAAUAAGUAACUACUUGAUUAUUCGACUUCCCCUGUUAUCUUUGGAUUGGAUUAGUCGAUUAGCAGGUUGUUGUGGAGUUAUUUUUGUAAUUUGAAUUUCACAGAUUAUGUAUUUAAGGAGGAAGUGAAUAAUAAGAGGCAUCAGAUUAUAAUUCCAGAAA